GGGGCUGGGGGCCUGGAUUCCUGGGUCUGAGGCAGGAGGAGCUGGAUCAUCAGGUCCUGGGAGCAGGAGGGGGCCUAGGCCUCUGGCUGGGUAGGUUAUGGAGAUGUGGAAGCCCGGGCCCCUCCUGCCUCCCUCUAUCUCUGCAGGACCAGCCAAUCAGCAGACAUGCAGUCAGGGUUGCUGAGCACAACUUUCCCCGUAAGACGGUGGCCGCUCAGAGACAGAGGAAGGCCAAGGCGCUCAAGCGCAGUUUCAAGUCUCAGGCUGUGGGCGACUCUGUGCCCCUCAUCUGGUCGCAGCUGGAGCAUGCCGACGUCAGGAAGAAACCUGCAGAAAAGAAGUCCCACUCAGACCCCCGCCCCGACAGAACUCACACCCAAAUCCGCUUGCCUGAGAAGACCAGCAUCACCACCUGGACCAUCUUCAGCAUCAUUUCCAGCACUGCCAACCAGACACAGUCCUCUCCAAAGGCCAGCCUUAUACCUGGGGCAGGGCCCAGGCCCCAGAGCUGAGGGAGGAGGGGCUGGAUGCCUGGACUCCUGGGUCUGAGGGAGGAGAAGCUGGGACCUGGACUCCUGGGUCUGAGGGAGGAUGGGUGGGGGGCCUCGGCUCCUAUAUCUGAGGGAGGAGAGGCUGGGGGCCUGGACUCCUGAGUCUGAUGGAGGAGAGACUGGGGCCUGGACUCCUGAGUCUGAU
rnacentral:lncRNA from 1 species